rnacentral:rRNA from 1 species
GGUUGAUCCUGCCAGUAGUCAUAUGCUUGUCUCAAAGAUUAAGCCAUGCAUGUCUAAGUAUAAACAACUUUAUACUGUAAAACUGCGAACGGCUCAUUAUAUCAGCAAUAAUUUAUUUGAUGGUUUCUUACUACAUGGAUAACUGUAGUAAUUCUAGAGCUAAUACAUGCGUAAAGUCCCAACUCUCGCGGGGAGGGAUGUAUUUAUUAGAUAAAAAACCAAUGCGGGUUCUGCUCGCCUUUGUGUUGAAUCAUAGUAACUUUUCGAACGGCAUAGCCUUGUGCUGGCCGUA